rnacentral:rRNA from 1 species
GAUGAACGCUGGCGGCGUGCCUAACACAUGCAAGUCGAACGGGAAUAGGAUGAAACCUAGUGAUUCCUAUUCUAGUGGCGGACGGGUGAGUAACGCGUGGGUAACCUGCCUUGCACUGGGGGAUAACACUUAGAAAUAGGUGCUAAUACCGCAUAAGCGCACAGAACCGCAUGGUUCAGUGUGAAAAACUCCGGGGGUGUAAGAUGGACCCGCGUCUGAUUAGCUGGUUGGUGAGGUAACGGCUCACCAAGGCGACGAUCAGUAGCCGGCCUGAGAGGGUGAACGGCCACAUUGGGACUGAGACACGGCCCAA